GGAGCAUGUGGUUUAAUUCGAUGCAACGCGAAAAACCUUACCCACCUUUGACAUGUACGGAAGUCGCUAGAGAUAGCUUCGUGCUCGAAAGAGAGCCGUAACACAGGUGCUGCAUGGCUGUCGUCAGCUCGUGUCGUGAGAUGUUGGGUUAAGUCCCGCAACGAGCGCAACCCUUGCCAUUAGUUGCUACAUUUAGUUGAGCACUCUAAUGGGACUGCCGGUGACAAACCGGAGGAAGGUGGGGAUGACGUCAAGUCCUCAUGGCCCUUAUAGGUGGGGCUACACACGUCAUACAAUGGCUGGUACAAAGGGUUGCCAACCCGCGAGGGGGAGCUAAUCCCAUAAAGCCAGUCGUAGUCCGGAUCGCAGUCUGCAACUCGACUGCGNGAAGUNNGAAUCGC
rnacentral:rRNA from 1 species